rnacentral:tRNA from 1 species
GGUUUGGUAGCUCAGCUGGAUAGAGCAACUGCCUUCUAAGCAGUCGGUCGGGGGUUCGAGUCCCCCCCAAAUCA